rnacentral:lncRNA from 1 species
GAGACAAGGUGAUGGUGGGGUAGGACCCACCUGCCAAGCCACCACCAUUUCCAGACUGUCAUCUCAGCCUGUGCGAGGUACUCACUGGGACCAGACAGCAGACAGCAGACUGUGAGGAGGUAGUUUAGAAACUACCAGGCUUGUGUCUGUUCUCAGUUUUCAAUGCCUGGUGACUCAGCUUCCCCAUCACGAACCUAAGAACAACCAGUCUAAUGAUGCUGUGGGAGGCAGAGGCAUACUCUGCCUCCCUUCGAGUGUACUCGCUUUGGGUAUACCCUGACAGGGGACUCCCCAGCACGAGACAUGCCAUCCCCGAACUCCUCAGUAGUGCCUGGCCCUCGCGACCUCGUAGUCUGACACUGUCUUUUCCUUCCUUUGCUCCUCAUCUUUUACCCACCUUCCUCUGUCACCCUUCCCUCUCUGUAUACACCUCUGUGUCUCCCUGUCUGGCUGCUGUGCCCUCCCCUUUCGCUCCCUUAGUGCCCCCAGCAGCAGUAGCAGUGCCAAGGGUGGCGGAGCCCCAUGGCCUGGGGGCGCCCAAACAUACUCACCCAGUU